AGGACGAACGCUGGCGGCGUGCUUAACACAUGCAAGUCGAGCGGAAAGGCCCUUCGGGGUACUCGAGCGGCGAACGGGUGAGUAACACGUGAGCAACCUGCCCUGGACUUUGGGAUAACCCUCGGAAACGGGGGCUAAUACCGGAUAUUACUUCUGCCCGCAUGGGUGGUGGUGGAAAGUUUUUCGGUCUGGGAUGGGCUCGCGGACUAUCAGCUUGUUGGUGGGGUGAUGGCCUACCAAGGCGACGACGGUUAGCCGGCCUGAGAGGGCGACCGGCCACACUGGGACUGAGACACGGCCCAGACUCCUACGGGAGGCAGCAGUGGGGAAUAUUGCACAAUGGGCGGAAGCCUGAUGCAGCGACGCCGCGUGAGGGAUGACGGCCUUCGGGUUGUAAACCUCUUUCAGCAGGGACGAAGCGAGAGUGACGGUACCUGCAGAAGAAGCGCGGCCAACUACGUGCCAGCAGCCGC
rnacentral:rRNA from 1 species